AACGAACGCUGGCGGCAGGCUUAACACAUGCAAGUCGAGCGCCCCGCAAGGGGAGCGGCAGACGGGUGAGUAACGCGUGGGAAUCUACCCAUCUCUACGGAAUAACGCAUGGAAACGUGUGCUAAUACCGUAUACGUCCUUCGGGAGAAAGAUUUAUCGGAGAUGGAUGAGCCCGCGUUGGAUUAGACAGUUGGUGGGGUUAAGGCCUACCAAGGCGACGAGCCAUAGCUGGUCUGAGAGGAUGAGCAGCCACACUGGGACUGAGACACGGCCCAGACUCCUACGGGAGGCAGCAGUGGGGAAUAUUGGACAAUGGGCGCAAGCCUGAUCCAGCCAUGCCGCGUGAGUGAUGAAGGCCCUAGGGUUGUAAAGCUCUUUCACCGGUGAAGAUAAUGACGGUAACCGGAGAAGAAGCCCCGGCUAACUUCGUGCCAGCCGCCGCGGUAAUAC
rnacentral:rRNA from 1 species